AUUGAACGCUGGCGGCAGGCCUAACACAUGCAAGUCGAGCGGAUGAAGGGAGCUUGCUCCUGGAUUCAGCGGCGGACGGGUGAGUAAUGCCUAGGAAUCUGCCUGGUAGUGGGGGAUAACGUCCGGAAACGGGCGCUAAUACCGCAUACGUCCUGAGGGAGAAAGUGGGGGAUCUUCGGACCUCACGCUAUCAGAUGAGCCUAGGUCGGAUUAGCUAGUUGGUGGGGUAAAGGCCUACCAAGGCGACGAUCCGUAACUGGUCUGAGAGGAUGAUCAGUCACACUGGAACUGAGACACGGUCCAGACUCCUACGGGAGGCAGCAGUGGGGAAUAUUGGACAAUGGGCGAAAGCCUGAUCCAGCCAUGCCGCGUGUGUGAAGAAGGUCUUCGGACUGUAAAGCACUUUAAGUUGGGAGGAAGGGCAGUAAGUUAAUACCUUGCUGUUUUGACGUUACCAACAUAAUAAGCACCGGCUAACUUCGUG
rnacentral:rRNA from 1 species